GGUGCGGUGUGUGAGAUAAUAAAUACUAUAACAUUGUCUCCAAGUGACAAGCAGAGAAGGAGCUGGAGAGAUCUCUUUGAUGUAAGAUGUCAUAAACCAAAUGGCCAAUGUUAUCUUGGGGGCGAAGUCAAGAGAG